rnacentral:rRNA from 1 species
UACGUAGGGGGCAAGCGUUGUCCGGAUUUAUUGGGCGUAAAGCGCUCGCAGGUGGUUCGUCGCGUCGUGCGUGAAAGACCCCGGCUCAACUGGGGGGCGUCGUGCGAAAUGGGCGGACUGGAGGCCAGUAGGGGGAUGCGGAAUUCCGGGUGUAGUGGUGGAAUGCGUAGAGAUCCGGAGGAACACCAGCGGCGAAGGCGGCAUCCUGGACUGGUCCUGACACUCAUGAGCGAAAGCGUGGGGAGCGAUCCGG